rnacentral:lncRNA from 1 species
CCACCUGGAUUAUUGUUUGGCCUGGGGCUUCUCAGGACUGAUGGGUGGAGCCAGAUGUUCCCAAAAUGGCCACCUCCAGAGAAAGGCAUGCUACUGAAUACUCCCGAGAGCUUUGCUUUCAAUGUCCUUACCCCAGAACAAGCCACAUUCACCCCUGUUUUCCCAGGAGGUCCUUGAGGAACUGCAGUCAGAUUUGACCCAGAUUCCUAUGGAGACUUCGCUUUGCUCUGGGACCCAGUGCACAUGGAAAUCUGUGUGCUCCUUUUAAGAAUGGGGUCUCCAUUUCCCCCAGUCCCAUGAAGCUCCUGUGCACAAGCCCCACUGUCCUUCAAUGCCAGAUGCUCCAGGGUCUCUUUCUCCUAGUUCCAGAUCCCCACACAUGGGAGUUUGAUGUGGGGCUCAGAACUCUCUCUCCUCUAGGUGAGUCUCCAUGAACCAGUUACUUGCCAGAUUGUGGGGCUUCCCACCCUGGAGGAAUGGGGUUGAUAAUAUUGUAUAAUCAUCCCUCCUACUUCUUGAUGUGGCCUCCUCUUUGUCUUCUGGAGUAGGAUGUCUUUUUGAAAGUUUCUGGUCCAUUUGGAUGAAGAUCGCUCAGCAUUUAGUUGUAAAUUUUGCUGUUUUUAGGAGAGAAGUUGAGCUCCUUCUGCCAUCUUAAUCCCAUUAAUUAUCUUUAGAUUGAUCUAGAGCCAUAAAAUCAAGAUAAUUUUCUUUUUGGAUGAUAAAAUUUUUAAAAAUUCAAUCUCAAUGAUGCUCUUAGCAAAUAUCUACCCAGAGUAGAAACUGAUAAUUGCUUAAACACGUACUAGAAUUUGUCUCCCUGGCUUCUAUAAAAUGAGGGAUGUCUCUUUAUGAAUUCAAUAAGUCCUAGACUUAACAACUGUAAUGCUAAUUGUUGUCAGCUCUCAGUUUCAAAGUUCUUUAUAUAAAGCAACUUUCAACCUUUGGAACACUAUCGAUGCUCCCUGUCAGGUCACAUAACUAAUAACUAAUUUCAGCUAACUAAUUUAUAGUUAACUUGAAUGAACUCAGUUGAAAAACUUUCAAUGGGCUAAAUUAUCUGAGAACAUAUUAAAAUAUUUAAAGCUUUUCUAUUUCAUGUACAUGCUAGGUUAUUAUUGUUUAGCCUUUUAAAACAUUAUUCACAGAGGUCACAAAUCAUUGGUGCCUGUCUCAUGACCCAGUUCACAGACCAGGGACCAGCACAGUAAAACAGGUUGAUGAUUGGUACCAAUGAAGAGGCAGUUGUCUGGCUGCCAUGUUCAAAACACCUUUUUUUGUUUGUUGGUAUAUUUCCUGGUGUUUCAAAUUUUGUGCCAGAUCUCCCUUGCUCCCAGAAAUAUGAAAUUCACAUUUGGAAUGAGCUAGCUCUGUGAUAAAAGCUGACGUGGAUGAGAUAUGAGGUCAAUCACAUUUGCUCUGUCUCAUGUUCAAGGUGGUUCUGAAUCCACCAUUAUUUUUCCAUUUCACCACCUGGAAUGAUCAGCACCAUUUUAGAUGAGAAAUUUGAAGCUCCCAGAGGUUAUUGACCCCAUGUCAAAGAGGGAGUGUUAGAGCUAGCAUUUAGGUUAGGCCUGUGGCUUCUAAAUUCCAUUCUCUUCUCUGUUUCCAGUGUUUUUUCAAACUUGUAUGAUUGGGACUUCUUCUAAAAAGCACAUUUUUACAGGAGACCAAGAUAAAUACCAUAAAAACAUUUUCAAAAGUGACUUAUCUAUACAACAUAUGAUUUACUCUGAUAUUUUGCAUUCUGUCCUAUUCAAUUUCAUUUUGUAAGACAUGAAACAAUAAAUUGAUUUCCUGAUCCACAAUCUGGUCACAACCUGUAGUUAUAAAAACACUAUUUUCACUUCUGGACCCUCUCUUGCUGUGCAAAUAAACAGUUUCUGGAAAUUAACUUCAGAGGGUCAUGGACCUCUGAGGUAAAAGAAGUAGGAAAGUUGAUGGAGAGAGUCAGGGUCUUUUAAAUUAAAUUAAGUUUAAAUUUAAAAUCCAUUAAAGACCUGUAUUCAACUCCUUUGAAUAUAAGUAGGACUUGUGAUGGAAGAAAACAAGUAAAUCUUAAUCUUGAUAUUUCUUCAAGUGUAUUUCCAAAGAUGCCAUGCUUGUAUUCACAGGAGUUUUACCAAAGUAAAUCAGUAAGAAUAAUAAUAUUUUUAGGAGUUUCCAUUGUGGCUCAGGGAAAGCGAAUCCAGCUAGGAACCAUGAGGUUGCAUGUUUGAUCCCUGGCCUUGCUCAGUGGGUUAAGGAUCCAGUGUUGCCAUGAGCUAUGGUGUAACUUGCAGACGUGACUCAGAUCUGAUGUUGCUGUGGCUGUGGCGUAGGCAGGCAGCUAUGGCUCCAAUUGGACUGCUAGCCUGGGAACCUCCAUAUGCCACAGAUGCAGACCUAAAAAGCAAAAAUAAUAACAAUAAUAAUAACAAAACAAUUCUGUCUGGUGAAGCAAUAUUGAAUUGGGAUAAGAGUGCAUUCUGAGAAUAAUUUUUCUGGAUUGCUACGUUCUUUGAGAUUCCUUGAGGAAUUUAUUUGGGCAACCCUGAGGCAGUCAUUUACUAUUGUUUUUCUCUUGAGGUUUCUGUGCUAUACCAGCAUAUCCCUAACACUGUAGGUUUUCAAGGCUGUAAGCUACAGGGUCUGAGAAAGUCAGGCAAGCAUCUCUUUCUCUCACUCUGUAUAAACUUAGAUUCUUCCUUUCCAAUUAUUAAAAUAAAGGGCCAUUCCGGGUGUUUUCCUUUUCACAGUUUUUAAUGAUAUUUUCAUUCAGAAUGCCUCCUACACCAUGAAACAGAUAUUGAGACUUAAUUUUUUUAAGUAAGUUCUAGUCAUCCUUGAAAUGAAUAGACACCAUAUGUGCUGCAGUUGACUUAAAAUGUGUAUUUUGCAUGCACACAUGGAGACCAAUACCUUCGUUGCUGCUGAUAGUAUUCUUUUGAUUUAGUAUGUUGUGAUCAGCUUAGAUCUCUGUUUCAAAAGGCAGAGUGUAACUUUUUUUAAUCACAUCGAUGACAGCUAAUCCUUCAAUGGAUUACUGAAUUUGGGGAAUUAGUAAAGAUUUAAAAUUAGCAGAAACUUACAGUGUCCUUGGAAUUUUAGAUGUAUACCAUUUAGCAAUACUGAUAGUAGAAAGUAAGCUCGUGAAUUUGUAUCUCAGGUAAUUAGGAGAUUCCCAGACCCCAAAACCUGGGGAGAACAUUAGCUGGAUAUUUGCUAUUGAUUUGAAAUCAGAGCAUUCAUUUCUUCAGAGUUCUCUGUGUGCUAGGUUCUAUUCUAAGCCCUAGAUACACACAAGUGAAACAGAUGAAACCCAUGCUUAUAUCACUGACCUUCCAGUUAGUAAGAAAGAUAAUAAACAACCACAUAAUAGAGUCCACUUAGUCUCCCUGUGCCCCACCCCUAACUUUUCCUAUGCUCAACAAAUUUAAGGUUACCAAAGGGGAAAGUGGGGGAGGAUAAACUAGGAGUUUGGGAUUAAAAUGUACACACUACUUUACAUAAAAAUGAUAAACAGCAAGCACCUACUGUAUAGCACAGUGAACUAUACUCAAUAUCUUACAACAACUUAUAAUGAAAA